GAUGAACGCUGGCGGCGUCCCUAACACAUGCAAGUCGAGCGAAGCUGGGUCGGGUGAGUCACACGUGGAUAACCUCCUAUAAGACUGGGAUCACUUCGGCAAACCGGAGCUAAACCGGAUACUUAUAGAUGGAUCCGCGCUGCAUUAGCUAGUUGGUAAGUUAACGGCUUACCAAGGCAACUAUGGACAGCCGACCUGAGCGGGUGAUCGGCCACAAUGAAACUGAGACAGGGUCCAGAACCCGAUGGGAGGCAGCAGUAGGGAAUCUGCCGCAAGGGGAGAAAGCCUGACGGAGCAACUCCGCGUGAGUGAUGAAGGUAUUCGGAUCGUAAAACUCUUUUAUGAGGGAAGCGGGACCUAAUCAGAAAGCCACGGCUAACUACGUGCCAGCAGCCGCGGUAAUUC
rnacentral:rRNA from 1 species